ACGAAACCCAAGUGCUGGAUACUGAAUUAAAGAUUUCACACACUUUAUUAUCAAAUGACACUGCGAGCUAGGAAGCUGUGAGCUCAGGAAACAUGCUCUGGAAACAUGCAUCAUCAACAGGUGUUACCAACUCUAAAAAAGCAAACACUUUGGUGCUUUGCUCUCUCCUGUCAGUUUUCAGUCUUGGACUCCCCCACGGCACAGCCCCAUGGCAAUCCUGUAUAACCUGGGAAAUAAACCAGAUCCAGAUAGUGGGACUCCUUACCGUUUUUUCAUCCCACUUUCCACCAGAUCUCAGCUACUGCAUUAGGGAGCCACAGCCAAAUUCACCUGUCAUCCCAGGUUCCAGAGAACUCUAACAUUCCCUCAGAGGCUGUUUUGGUGGCCAUCUUUAGUCAAAGAUUUGCGGAGUAUGUGGGAGCGUGUUCUGAAAACACAGAACACAAAAUAACUAACAGCCUGUUCAAUUCCAGCUGGAUUACUGAGACCCUUACCUGUACCUGGCCAGCUGUGGUCCCACAUCUCAUUGGAUUUCAUCAACGGGCAUCCCUCUGCAUCAUGUAACACCACUAUUUUUACAAUCAUUGAUUGUUUCUGCAAACCAGCCCAACUCAUUGCUCCUCCUAAGCUUCCAAUGGCUUUGGAAACUGCUCAGGUUCUAACCUAGCAUGUAUUCCGACUCCAUGGCAUUCCCCUGGACAUUAUGAAAUAAUGUUUUUGAUUGAGCCUGCCAAUUUAAACUGGAAAGAAUUCUACAUUUAAAUUGUCAGUUUGUCAUCAGUUUUCCAUCCACGACCAAUGAACAUACUGGGAGACUCGUUUAGGACCUGGAGGCAGCACUUUGUUGUGUGGCAUCCUCCAAUCAAACCAACUGGAGCCCCCACCUGGUGUGGGCUGAUUAUGCCAAGAACUCAUCAACAUGUCUUGAUGCAUGUUCAAUCAUCCAGCAUCUCCACCGCUGCCAGCACUUUUGGAGGGCAACCUGGAUGCCUUGUUGAAAAUGGCAACAAGCAGCGUGCUGACUGCCAUCAAGUCCCAGCGCCUGAGUACACCCCAGGUCAAAAAAUAUGGUUGCCUAUCAAAAAUAUCUUGUUGCACACUAAGUCUAAAAAACUGUCUCCAAGAUCGUUUGUCCCUUUGAGAUCCUGUGUAUCAUCAGCCCUGUCGCUGUCCUUCUGAGAUUACCCUGACAUGUGAAAAUUCACAACUCUUUCCAUGUGUCUCAGGUUAACCCCAUUCUGUCCAGCCUUCAACCUCCAUGAACUGAAGCAAUGUUGUAAAUAAGAGUGAGCCAAAAUUUCUCUACAACUACUUUAUAGCUGCUAUAGGUGGCUCUGCGGGGUUCUACAAUAUAGUUUUUUCCACAUACUGGUUCUUCAUUUUGGCUUAGUUUUGUUAAAUAAUGUCAGUGUAAUAUGUUAUUUGUAAUUGCUCAUCUGUGGUUUACCUAAUUAAGUAAAAUUAAGACCUAGUGAGAACUACAGAAUUGUCUAUUAUGUUCCGAUAUGUAAAAUUUUAGACUUAACAGGAAGUGUACUUUAUUUUAACCAUGACUUAGCUAUCUGUAGUAGAAGCAUUGCAUUGGGGUCUGAUAAGGAUUCUGCCUUGUUCAGCUGGUAGAGCACAUUUGCAUUCGGUCUUACUCCCCCUGUUUCACCUUAGUUGUGCCAGUCUGAGUGGGAGGUAAGGAGGAUCAGUCAUCACUUCACUGAACAGUGAUCACACACUGGAUCUGUCUUGAUGCAUGCUCAGUCAUCCAGAACUGAAGAACCUUUCGGAUGAGAUGUGAAAUGUCUUCAAGCAACUUAAAGAAGUCCAGAUGCUUUUCUUUCCAAGCUCUUUAGACUACCAUGACCUGGAUGACUGAGAACCUUCACAGACGUUAAGAAACAAAGGAUAUACUGUUCAAUUUCACUCUCUGCCUCUUAGCUGUAAUCGGCUGUUUGCUCUUUGGCUAGCUGCACUAAAACAGGAAAAUCCAGUUGUUAGUCGUAAUGUUCAAUUUUUUAAAGCACUUUAUAAAUGAGGUCUGUGUGGAGGAGAGCCUGUUUAAGUCACCAGACCGACAAGCUGGG
ensembl:lncRNA